GCAAACUUGGUCAUUUAGAGGAAGUAAAAGUCGUAACAAGGUUUCCGUAGGUGAACCUGCGGAAGGAUCAUUACCAAGAGGCGAGAAAUCGCUUUCAACCCGCUAGGUGGCCCCCUGGGUCACCGAACCGGCCAACCCUUUGUGAACCAAAAAAAACCUUUCGCUUCGGCAGCUGGGCCUGAACUGGCCUGUCAGCCUGCCGCUAGCACCAACCUUCAAAACCUGUUGUUGAACAUUGUCUGAUAACCAAAAUUUUUGAAUGAAAAUCAAAACUUUCAACAACGGAUCUCUUGGUUCCCGCAUCGAUGAAGAACGCAGC
rnacentral:misc_RNA from 1 species